CUGGACAUUAGGUGAAUUACACCCAACAAACUCCUGACCUCUUUGUGUCCACUGAUUGGAGGGAAACACCAAACACCUGAGUCAACCAGGAAGUAGCUCCUGCAAUUCCCUCCACACACUCCUGUCCUCACGCCUCAGUUUCACAGCCACAGUUUGUUUUUAUAUCUUUAACUGGGAAUCUUUAACUCCCCCUCAGCUCCCAGUUUAUCUCACUUCAGAAUGAACCAGACUUCUUUAUCUAUCUGGGAUCUAUCCUCUGUGAUCCACCUGUUGGACUGAAUCAAACAAGGACACAUGGAGCCAACAGAAGGACCAGAGCAUGGAACAGAGAGAAUCUAAAACACAAGGAUCCAGAUGAUACUGGCAGUUUGGGGGAGGACUGUGCACUGCCUUGCACACAUUCAUUGACCUUUGUGGUGUCACCACAUCGCCCACGACAUCAUCCACAAUCACAGAUGACGUCGUCCACCAUCGCCUAGACAUGGUCCAUGAUUGGAGCGUUCCCUGAUUGUCGAUGACAUUGUCGAUGAUCACAGAGAGACCAUCUAUGACCUCAGAGACAUCAUCCCCAAUCACAAAGACAUUGUGCAUGAUCGCAGAGACAUUAUCCAUAAUCUCAGACACGUAGUCCAUGAUUACAGAGACACAGUCCAAGAUCAGAGUGUCUAUAUACAAUGAAGAAGUUCUUUAAGAUCAGGACUGAGACCUCCAGGUAAUUCACAAACAGCUUUACAUGAACUAACACAGAGCACUGACAUCAAGUUCUUUAUGAUCAGUUUUCAGUAUAUCAAAAAAUUGUAAGUAAUCUGCAAUUUAAAAAUAAUGUAAAUAUAAUCUGUAUUAAUAGAAGUAAUAUAAAAGUAAUAUUAGAAUUAAGAGGUAACAGUCAAAGCAAUCUGUUUUUGGUUGUACUUCACAACAGUAAAAGGUAAUUGUAAAUUUAGAAUAUGUAAUGAGAAAAGCAUUAUGUAAUAGGAAAAGUCAUCUAAUAUUGUGUAACAAUAAAAUUAAUCUGUAAUAUAAAGGCAAGGCCGAAUAGGAAUUCAAAAUAGAAGUCAAAAUGUCACAGUAUAGUAAGGCGUCAAAAAUAGUCAAAAAAUGUCAAAAAAUGUCAUAGUAUAGUAAGCCAUGAAAAAAGGUCAAAAAAUGUCAAAAUUGGUCAAAAAAUGUCAAAAAAUGUCAUAGUAUAGUAAGGCGUCAAAAAAUGUGAAAAAGUGUCAAAAAAUGUCAUAGUAUAGUAAGGGGUCAAAAACAACCAAAAAAUGUCAUAGUAUAGCAUGGUGUCAAAAUAGGUCAAAAAAUGUCAUAGUAUAGUAAGGGGUCAAAAAUGUCAUAAAAAUUUCAUAGUAUAGUAAGGCAUCAAAAAAUGUGAAAAAAUGUCAUAGUAUAGUAAGAGGUCAAAAAUGGUCAAAAAAAUGUCAUAGUAUAGUAAGGUAUCAAAAAUGGUCAAAAAGUGUCAAAAAAUGUCAUAGUAUAGUAAGGAGUCAAAAAUGGUCAAAAAAUGUCAAAAAAUGUCAUAGUAUAGUAAGGGGUCAAAAAUGUCAUAAAAAUGUCAUAGUAUAGUAAGGAGUCAAAAAUGGUCAAAAAAUGUCAAAAAAUGUCAUAGUAUAGUAAGGGGUCAAAAAUGUCAUAAAAAUGUCAUAGUAUAGUAAGGUAUCAAAAAUGGUCAAAAAGUGUCAAAAAAUGUCAUAGUAUAGUGUGGUGUUAAAAAUUGGUCAAAAAAUGUCAUAGUAUAGUGUGGUGUUAAAAAUUGGUCAAAAAAUGUCAUAGUAUAGUAAGGAGUCAAAAAGUGUCAAAAAAUGUCAUAGUAUAGUAACGAGUCAAAAAUGGUCAAAAAAUGUGAAAAAAUGUCACAGUAUAGUAAGGAGUCAAAAUUGGUCAAAAAAUGUCAUAGUAUAGUAAGGAAUCAAAAAGUGUCAAAAAAUGUCAUAGUAUAGUAAGGAGUCAAAAAUGGUCAAAAAUUGUCA